rnacentral:rRNA from 1 species
GGGGAAUCUUAGACAAUGGGCGCAAGCCUGAUCUAGCCAUGCCGCGUGGGUGAUGAAGGCCUUAGGGUCGUAAAGCCCUUUCGCCGGGGAAGAUAAUGACGGUACCCGGUAAAGAAACCCCGGCUAACUCCGUGCCAGCAGCCGCGGUAAUACGAAGGGGGCUAGCGUUGUUCGGAUUUACUGGGCGUAAAGCGCACGUAGGCGGAUCGUUAAGUCGGGGGUGAAAUCCUGGAGCUCAACUCCAGAACUGCCUUCGAUACUGGCGAUCUUGAGUCCGGAAGAGGUGAGUGGAACUCCUAGUGUAGAGGUGGAAUUCGUAGAUAUUAGGAAGAACACCAGUGGCGAAGGCGGCUCACUGGUCCGGUACUGACGCUGAGGUGCGAAAGCGUGGGGAGCAAA